rnacentral:rRNA from 1 species
GAUGAACGCUGGCGGCGUGCCUAAUACAUGCAAGUCGAACGCUGAAGGAGGAGCUUGCUCUUCUGGAUGAGUUGCGAACGGGUGAGUAACGCGUAGGUAACCUGCCUGGUAGCGGGGGAUAACUAUUGGAAACGAUAGCUAAUACCGCAUGACAACAGUUAUUGCAUGAUAACUGUUUAAAAGGGGCAACUGCUCCACUACCAGAUGGACCUGCGUUGUAUUAGCUAGUUGGUGAGGUAACGGCUCACCAAGGCGACGAUACAUAGCCGACCUGAGAGGGGGAUCGGCCACACUGGGACUGAGACACGGCCCAGACUCCUACGGGAGGCAGCAGUAGGGAAUCUUCGGCAAUGGACGGAAGUCUGACCGAGCAACGCCGCGUGAGUGAAGAAGGUUUUCGGAUCGUAAAGCUCUGUUGUAAGAGAAGAACGAGUGUGAGAGUGGAAAGUUCACACUGUGACGGUAGCUUACCAGAAAGGGACGGCUAACUACGUG